UACGUAGGGUGCAAGCGUUGUCCGGAAUUAUUGGGCGUAAAGAGCUCGUAGGUGGUUUGUCGCGUUGUCCGUGAAAACUCACAGCUCAACUGUGGGCGUGCGGGCGAUACGGGCAGACUGGAGUACUGCAGGGGAGACUGGAAUUCCUGGUGUAGCGGUGGAAUGCGCAGAUAUCAGGAGGAACACCGGUGGCGAAGGCGGGUCUCUGGGCAGUAACUGACGCUGAGGAGCGAAAGCGUGGGGAGCGAACAGG
rnacentral:rRNA from 1 species